AGAUUGAACGCUGGCGGCAUGCCUUACACAUGCAAGUCGAACGGCAGCACGGGAGCAAUCCUGGUGGCGAGUGGCGAACGGGUGAGUAAUACAUCGGAACGUGCCCAGUUGUGGGGGAUAGCCCGGCGAAAGCCGGAUUAAUACCGCAUACGACCUACGGGUGAAAGCGGGGGAUCGCAAGACCUCGCGCUAUUGGAGCGGCCGAUGUCGGAUUAGCUUGUGGUAGGUAAAAGCCUACCGAGCUACGAUCCGUAGCUGGUCUGAGAGGACGACCAGCCACACUGGGACUGAGACACGGCCAGACUCCUACGGGAGCAGCAGGUGGGAAUUUUGGACAAGUGGGACGAAAGCCUGACUACCGAGCCCAGUCGGCCGCGUGGGACGGGAAGUAA
rnacentral:rRNA from 1 species